AGCCUGAACGCUGGCGGCGUGGCUAAGACAUGCAAGUCGUACGGGCGUAGCAAUACGUCAGUGGCGAACGGGUGAGUAAUGUAUCGCUAACGUACCCCUAUGUCCGGGAUAGCUGAGGGAAACUUCAGGUAAUACCGGGUGACAUCACUUUCCCGCAUGGGAGAGUGCUCAAAGGGAAACCGCAAAGGGAGCGGGCGAUAUCGUAUCAGCUAGUUGGUGAGGUAACGGCUCACCAAGGCAAUGACGCGUAGCCGGACUGAGAGGUCGGACGGCCACAUUGGGACUGAGACACUGCCCAGACUCCUACGGGGGCUGCAGUAACGAAUCUUCCGCAAUGCACGCAAGUGUGACGGAGCGACGCCGCGUGUGGGACGAAGUCCUCGGGAUGUAACCACUGUCAGGGGUUACCGAAGUUCUGAGGAACCCCGAGAGGAAGGCACGGCUAACUCUGUCGCCAGCAGCCGC
rnacentral:rRNA from 1 species